AUUGAACGCUGGCGGCAGGCCUAACACAUGCGAGUCGAGCGGAUGAAGGGAGCUUGCUCCUGGAUUCAGCGGCGGACGGGUGAGUAAUGCCUAGGAAUCUGCCUGGUAGUGGGGGAUAACGUCCGGAAACGGGCGCUAAUACCGCAUACGUCCUGAGGGAGAAAGUGGGGGAUCUUCGGACCUCACGCUAUCAGAUGAGCCUAGGUCGGAUUAGCUAGUUGGUGGGGUAAAGGCCUACCAAGGCGACGAUCCGUAACUGGUCUGAGAGGAUGAUCAGUCACCCUGGAACUGAGACACGGUCCAGACUCCUACGGGAGGCAGCAGUGGGGAAUAUUGGACAAUGGGCGAAAGCCUGAUCCAGCCAUGCCGCGUGUGUGAAGAAGGUCUUCGGAUUGUAAAGCACUUUAAGUUGGGAGGAAGGGCAGUAAGUUAAUACCUUGCUGUUUUGACGUUACCAACAGAAUAAGCACCGGCUAACUUCGUG
rnacentral:rRNA from 1 species